UGGUUGGUGUUUUGCACAAUUUUAGAGAUUCGAUUUCACCAAAAAAGCACCAAAUGACUCCUCCCACCAUAUUAUGAUGUUCCCCAAGUUUUGGACACAAUCCGAUAUCGAUUGGUCCAUGAAAUUUGGCAAUUCAGGUUCGUACGAAGUUCAUUCUGAAAUGGUGUGGUUGGUAUAUUUCAUAGUUCUUGAGAUUGGAUUUCAC
rnacentral:lncRNA from 1 species